AGAGUUUGAUCCUGGCUCAGAUUGAACGCUGGCGGCAUGCUUUACACAUGCAAGUCGAACGGUAACAGGGAGCUUGCUCCGCUGACGAGUGGCGAACGGGUGAGUAAUGCAUCGGAACGUGCCUAUUUGUGGGGGAUAACGUAGCGAAAGUUACGCUAAUACCGCAUACGCCCUGAGGGGGAAAGCGGGGGAUUCGUAAGAACCUCGCGCAAUUAGAGCGGCCGAUGUCGGAUUAGCUAGUUGGUGGGGUAAAGGCUCACCAAGGCGACGAUCCGUAGCGGGUCUGAGAGGAUGAUCCGCCACACUGGGACUGAGACACGGCCCAGACUCCUACGGGAGGCAGCAGUGGGGAAUUUUGGACAAUGGGCGAAAGCCUGAUCCAGCCAUGCCGCGUGAGUGAAGAAGG
rnacentral:rRNA from 1 species